CCCUCUCCCAUGUAUACAGAUUCCCUCUCUAUGUAUCACAUGGCUGCUGCUCAGGGGAUGGAGGAGGGGUGGUGUCGACAAUUCAAGAUUAUCUUUUCCACCCUCUUCAGUGCCUCUUUUAGCGAUGUGAAGUUAAAACCAGGGAGCUUGACAUAGGUGGUGCAUGAAGUGUCUCAAGAGGAAGCAGAGAAUAAGAUCUCAGUUACACAGUCUGGGCAAGAAUACAAGAAAAUCACCCAAAAAACUGCGACCAUCAGAGGAGCCUCCAUGUUAGAGUCUCUGGGCCUCUGUCUCUUCAGAAUCCACCCUGGAAACAGUGUGCAUCAAAACACUUUGGAGUUCUUAGAGGCACUUGGAAUUAUCUGCUGGCUUCCCACCUUUAAAGAGACUGGGCUAGUUAAAUAUCCCCCUCUGUUCAUUUUUUUAAAUUUGUGAGUUUAUUUUUUGAUUAUUACUCUAAUUGGGGGCUAACAUUAACAUUUACUGGGCAAGUGUCAGGGAGGUCAACAUUAUGCAUGUUUGAGAUAGUCCUUUGCCAUGAAGAAUUGUUCUGUGUCCCAUGUGACUUUUGUAUGUCCAACUGGGCAGUUGUGAAUUCAGAAAACCUCGUGUAUAAUUAUUCAAACUCAAAGCCUAACUCCAUUUUACAUGCAAACACAAUGUAUUUAUUACACAGUUUUAAUACACCCUAAAUUUUCUAGGAAUAAAACUUUGUACUUUGUUCAGAACUUUUCUUUUUUUAAAGUAAGUUGUUCAUUGUUUUGGAAAUUUGCAUAACUGUUAGACAAUUGUUCAAGGGCUUUAAUUGUCUAAACAGCACAUAA
rnacentral:lncRNA from 10 species